UACAGAGGUCUCAAGCGUUGUUCGGAAUCACUGGGCGUAAAGGGUGCGUAGGCGGCGCGGUAAGUCGGGUGUGAAAUCUCGGAGCUUAACUCCGAAACUGCAUUCGAUACUGCCGUGCUUGAGGACUGGAGAGGAGACUGGAAUUUACGGUGUAGCGGUGAAAUGCGUAGAUAUCGUAAGGAAGACCAGUGGCGAAGGCGGGUCUCUGGACAGUUCCUGACGCUGAGGCACGAAGGUCAGGGGAGCAAACGGG
rnacentral:rRNA from 1 species